AAUCUGCCCUUUGCUUCGGAAUAACAGUUAGAAAUGACUGCUAAUACCGGAUGAUGUCGCAAGACCAAAGAUUUAUCGGCAAGGGAUGAGCCCGCGUAGGAUUAGCUUGUUGGUGAGGUAAAAGCUCACCAAGGCGACGAUCCUUAGCUGGUCUGAGAGGAUGAUCAGCCACACUGGGACUGAGACACGGCCCAGACUCCUACGGGAGGCAGCAGUGGGGAAUAUUGGACAAUGGGCGAAAGCCUGAUCCAGCAAUGCCGCGUGAGU
rnacentral:rRNA from 1 species